rnacentral:sRNA from 1 species
ACCAGAAAAAAGGACGCAGAGGGUUUUGAAACUGCCCUCUCCAACCAAACCCCUCCACCCUACAGGGUGCAUCCCUCCACCACCCUUUGCUUAUGCAAAAUCCACACCAACAAAGUAGCUAUUUGAGGCAGAUCGAGGGAUGAGGAAGAAGGACGCGUCGCGAGUCUAACCGCAACAGAGAACAAAGAUCGCCGCUAAAGGAAGAAACUAUAAGCUCCACCUGCAGAAAACCAAAACAAAAAAAAAAACACCACAGAUCACCAAUGCUCUACGCGAGCCAUCACAGUGAACUCCUCUGUUGUUCGCCGACAAUGAACCAGACCACACCGCGAAGGGAGAUAAAGUUGUUCCUCUAUGGCACGAUGCAGAAACAGAAAAGAGAAGAAAGCUAGAAUGCGAGAAACUCAGGUUCUAAAACUCUCUUGAAAUCCAUGGCUAGAACGAAACACUAGAUUGGUCAUGACGAAGACGCGCCGUUGGUGGUGAAGCAAGGAUGCAGAAGAUAGAUUGGGAAGACGAAAAUUGAGGAUUUUCCCCAAUUUAGGGUUCAUUAACAAUAAGGUUUCAGAUUUGGGAUUUUUCCCUUCUUGAUUCUGAAGGAUUAAUUAAAGUUCCUAAUUUGCAAAUUUAGGGUUUUUCGAAUUAGAAA